rnacentral:lncRNA from 1 species
AGCGGAGUGGGGGUGACAUUUGGGGGGCUGUGACACCCCCAGGGUGACGUUUGGGGUGACAAUCGGUGUCCCUGGGGAGGUGACAAUCGCCAUUCCCGCUGUCCCCGGUGAGGUGACAAUCGCUGUCCCCGGUGAGGUGACAAUCACCGUCCCCGGUGAGGUGACAAUCGCCAUUCCCGGUGUCCCCGGUGAGGUGACAAUCGCCAUUCCCG